UACAGAGGUCUCAAGCGUUGUUCGGAUUCAUUGGGCGUAAAGGGUGCGUAGGUGGCGCCAUAAGUCAGGUGUGAAAUCUCGGGGCUCAACCCCGAAACUGCACUUGAUACUGUGGUGCUCGAGUACUGGAGAGGAGAUUGGAAUUUACGGUGUAGCAGUGAAAUGCGUAGAUAUCGGAAGGAACAUCGGUGGCGAAAGCGACUUCCUGGACCAGUACCGACGUUCAGGCACGAAAGCGUGGGGAGCAAACAGG
rnacentral:rRNA from 1 species